rnacentral:rRNA from 1 species
GACGAACGCUGGCGGCGCGCUUAAUACAUGCAAGUCGAACGAGAAGCCAGAGCUUGCUCUGGUGGAAAGUGGCGAACGGGUGAGUAACACGUGAGAAACCUGCCCCAAAGAUUGGGAUAAGCCUUGGAAACGAGGUCUAAUACCAAAUACCUUCUUUUUAACACAUGUUAAAAAGAAGAAAUGCUCCGGCGCUUUGGGAUGGUCUCGCGAUCUAUCAGCUUGUUGGUGAGGUAACGGCUCACCAAGGCAUCGACGGAUAGCUGGUCUGAGAGGAUGUCCAGCCACAUUGGAACUGAGACACGGUCCAAACUCCUACGGGAGGCAGCAGUAGGGAAUCUUGCACAAUGAGGGAAACCUUGAUGCAGCGACGCCGCGUGCGGACGAAGGCCCUAGGGUUGUAAACCGCUUUCAGUAGGGACGAAAGUGACGGUACCUACAGAAGAAGCCCCGGCCAACUAUGUGCCAGCAGCCGCGGU